AUACGUAGGUGGCAAGCGUUGUCCGGAAUUAUUGGGCGUAAAGCGCAUGUAGGCGGUUUGGUAAGUCGGUCGUGAAAAUGCGGUGCUUAACGCCGUAUGGCGAUUGAAACUGCUGAACUUGAGUGCAGGAGAGGAAAGGGGAACUCCCAGUGUAGCGGUGAAAUGCGUAGAUAUUGGGAAGAACACCGGUGGCGAAGGCGCCUUUCUGGACUGUGUCUGACGCUCAGAUGCGAAAGCCAGGGUACCGAACGGGAUUAGAUCCCCCGGGAGUCCUGGCCGUAAACGAUGGGUACUAGGUGUGGGAGGUAUCGACUCCUUCCGUGCCGGAGUUAACGCAAUAAGUACCCCGCCUGGGGAGUACGGCCGCAAGGCUUAAACUCAAAGGAAUUGACGGGG
rnacentral:rRNA from 1 species